UACGUAGGGUGCAAGCGUUAAUCGGAAUUACUGGGCGUAAAGCGUGCGCAGGCGGUUUUGUAAGCCAGAUGUGAAAUCCCCGGGCUUAACCUGGGAAUGGCGAUGAAGACUGCAAGGCUAGAAUCUGGCAGAGGGGGGUAGAAUUCCACGUGUAGCAGUGAAAUGCGUAGAGAUGUGGAGGAACACCGAUGGCGAAGGCAGCCCCCUGGGUCAAGAUUGACGCUCAUGCACGAAAGCGUGGGGAGCAAACAGG
rnacentral:rRNA from 1 species